GACGAACGCUGGCGGCGUGCCCAAUACAUGCAAGUCGAACGCUUUUUCUUUCACCGGAGCUUGCUCCACCGAAAGAAAAAGAGUGGCGAACGGGUGAGUAACACGUGGGUAACCUGCCCAUCAGAAGGGGAUAACACUUGGAAACAGGUGCUAAUACCGUAUAACACUAUUUUCCGCAUGGAAGAAAGUUGAAAGGCGCUUUUGCGUCACUGAUGGAUGGACCCGCGGUGCAUUAGCUAGUUGGUGAGGUAACGGCUCACCAAGGCAACGAUGCAGAGCCGACCUGAGAGGGUGAUCGGCCACACUGGGACUGAGACAGGGCCCAGAUUCCUACGGGAGGCAGCAGUAGGGAAUCUUCGGCAGUGGGCGAAAGUCUGACCGAGCAACGCCGCGUGAGUGAAGAAGGUUUUUGGAUCGUAAAACUCUGUUGUUAGAGAAGAACAAGGAUGAGAGUAAAAUGUUCAUCCCUUGACGGUAUCUAACCAGAAAGCCACGGCUAACUACGUGCCAGCCGCCGCGGUAA
rnacentral:rRNA from 1 species